GCCCGCUUGGCUCAGUGGUAGAGCGUGUCACUAGUAAAUCUAGGGCAAUGACAAGGUCAUCAGUUCGAUUCUGAUAGUGGGCA